GCAGUCGAACGGUGAAGAGGAGCUUGCUUCUUGGAUCAGUGGCGAACGGGUGAGUAACACGUGAGCAAUCUGCCCUUGACUCUGGGAUAACUGCGGGAAACUGUAGCUAAUACCGGAUAUUACCUUGGAAGGCAUCUUCUGGGGUGGAAAGAAUUUUGGUCAAGGAUGAGCUCGCGGCCUAUCAGCUAGUUGGUGAGGUAAUGGCUCACCAAGGCGACGACGGGUAGCCGGCCUGAGAGGGUGACCGGCCACACUGGGACUGAGACACGGCCCAGACUCCUACGGGAGGCAGCAGUGGGGAAUAUUGCACAAUGGGCGCAAGCCUGAUGCAGCAACGCCGCGUGAGGGACGACGGCCUUCGGGUUGUAAACCUCUUUUAGUAGGGAAGAAGCGACUGGGUUUUCCUGGGAGUGACGGUACCUACAGAAAAAGCACCGGCUAACUACGUGCCAGCAGCCGCGGUAAUACGUAGGGUGCAAGCGUUGUCCGGAAUUAUUGGGCGUAAAGGGCUCGUAGGCGGUUUGUCGCGUCGGGAGUGAAAACUCAGGGCUCAACCCUGAGCGUGCUUCCGAUACGGGCAGACUAGAGGUAUUCAGGGGAGAACGGAAUUCCUGGUGUAGCGGUGGAAUGCGCAGAUAUCAGGAGGAACACCGGUGGCGAAGGCGGUUCUCUGGGAAUUACCUGACGCUGAGGAGCGAAAGCAUGGGGA
rnacentral:rRNA from 1 species